CAUCAGCAUUCUGUGCCAUGCCUAUGGCGUGAAGCUUGUUCAGGAAGCUGAUGACAGAUGUUUGCAGCUUCUUCCCAUCUUCGAUGUUCAGCACACAUUUUUGCACGAAUAAGCAAAAAUGUUUUAGAUGUAAAGCAUACUGAAACAUGAACACUUAGUUUGUAGCCAUAAACGGUACAACAACUUCUAUCAGCCAACUUGGAAUUGGAAAAAGGACUAUCUUCUCUGCAACAAUGGCUAUGUCAACUUCACUUAGAAUACUUCAUUUCAUUAAUAUAUUAAGUGUGACAUCAUGUAUGUUGUUUCCAACAUCAUCAAAACUUUCGUCCUUCUUCCGGAAAAAUAAUAGAAUACAACUUUGUUUAACCUUUAUAUAAGGCACGUUUGACAUUGAACAGAGGAAAAGAAUAUCUGGCGUUAAACAAAAUCAAAUUAACAAUAAUCCACUCGAUCGUUUUUAGCUUGACGGGGGCAGGGGUACCGCUAGGAUUUCAUUUUUGGGGGGAGGGGGCGUGGUCAGGAACCC